GACGAACGCUGGCGGCGUGCUUAACACAUGCAAGUCGAACGAAGUGGCGAACGGGUGAGUAACGCGUAAUCAACCUGCCCUUCAGAGGGGGACAACAGUUGGAAACGAAUGCUAAUACCGCAUACUGAAGGAGGGGAUUGCGUCUGAUUUGCUAGUUGGGGGGGUAACGGCCCACCAAGGCGAUGAUCAGUAGGCGGGCUUAGGGGAUGAACGGCCAAAAUGGGACUGAAGCACGGCUCAGACUGCUACCGGAGGGAAGAGUGGGGAAUCUUCGGCAAUGGGGGAAAGGCUGACUGAGGAAAUCCGGGGGAGUGGUGGAGGCCUUCGGGUUGGAAAGCUCUUUUCAUCGGGACGCGUUACCCGAAGAGAAAGCCACGGCUAACUACGUGCCAGCAGCCGCGGUAAUUC
rnacentral:rRNA from 1 species